CCUAAGUGUGAGUGUUGCAGCCAUGCUCAUUGGGGUUUCCAAUGUAACCAGAAUUCUAAUAACUCUAGGCCUGAUCUUGGAACUGGAACCUCAGAAUGUUAACUGGGAAUUCUUAAGUAACUAUAAUAAAUACACAAGCAAUAGAUCAGGCAACACUGUGCAAGUUCUAAGGGAAAUAAACCUGAAAGAAUCACUGUUCCUGAAUGGAAAGAGGACAGAGGGCAGAAGCUCAAGCCUUAUUCAGCUUCAGAAGUGAAAAGAAGGAACUGGGCAGAACAUCCAUGAGAUGCAGGUGGAUGUCCAUGUGGCAUUUUCUGACCCACCAAAGGCACCUGUCAGAGGAGGAGGUUGAGAAUGAUAAAGACAUGGCAGACUUGAACUGGCUGAUGCUGCUCACAAGUCCUGGUGUAGCCACUGAUACCCCCUAUGUAGACCAGCAUAUCUGGUGCAGAGUCACAGGCACAGACUGGUGGGCUCACAUUGUCAUGCAGCCCUGGGUAGCCCAUCAGUGGGUCCAUAACUUUUGCAUGAAGAAAGCUACAUUUCUGAAGCUUUGUAAGCUGCUUUCCCUGACCCUCUAGCAUCACAACACCAGCCUUUGCUGGUCUAGAAACAGGUUGCUAUAACCAGCUUCAAGCUGGCUACCCUGGACUGCUACAGGUCUGUUGCUAACCAGUUUGGUGUUGGAAAGUCGACCGUGGGAAAAGUGUCUGAUGCAGUCAGGUGUGUGAUUGACCCAAAGGUAGUGGGCAUAAACCAUAUUCCUGAAGUAAAUGGCGGUUUUGAGAGUGGAGUUUCCAAACUGCGCUGGGCCCAUUGAUAGGACUCAUGUGCCUAUAGUUUGCCCUCCUCAAGGAUCACAUGAGUACAUAAACCACAAAGAGUAUUACUCCAUUGUUAUGCAGGCCCUCAUGGACCAGAGGCCAAGUUAUGAACACCAAUAUGGGCUGUAUUAGAAAAGUUCAUGAUGCUAUGGUUUUCCACUGAUCAGGAGUCCACCUUCAUUGUCAGUCAGGGACACUCUUCCCACCAAAUGACAACUGGAGUUACUGCUCCACUGUUAUUCUAAGGGAGCUUGCGCACCCCCUUUUCCCUUGGCUUAUGAAACCUGAUCUCAGAGAACUUGCCAAAGAAGGUUUAAUUACACACUCAGUUGGCAUAGAAUGGUGGUUGAAUGUGUGUUUGGCAGAUAGAAAUCCCAAUGGUGCUGUUUACUGAACUGUUUGAACUCCAGUGUUGUCAAUGCUGGCUGCAUUAUUGUAGCUUGCUGUGCUCUUCACAAUCUUUAUGAAGCCAAAGGUGAGCCAU